rnacentral:rRNA from 1 species
CGCGUAGGCGGUGCCGUAAGCGGCGAGUGAAAUCCCAGGGCUCAACCCUGGGACUGCUCGCCGUACUGCGGUGCUCGAGUGCGGGAGGGGGGUGUGGAACUCUAGGUGGAGCGGUGAAAUGCGUAGAUAUCUAGAGGAACACCGGUGGCGAAAGCGACACCCUGGCCCGCAACUGACGCUGAGGCGCGAAAGCGUGGGUAGCAAACAGGAUUAGAUACCCUGGUAGUCCACGCCGUAAACGAUGAGCACUAGGUAGCCGCCGGAUCCGACCGGGGGCUGCUGAAGGUAAUCCAUUAAGUGCUCCGCCUGGGGAGUAUGGUCGCAAGGCUGAA